GGAGCAGCUAGGCCUGGCCAGAGAAGCAAGACAAACAAACACACCCAUAUGUACAGACACACACAAACACAUGCAUACACAAACACAAUGCAUGCACACAUGUCAGUUCAGGGGAUAGAGGACACUGACUCUGGGCCCUCUUGACCCAAGCAGGCUCCUGUUGUGGUGGGUUGUGUCAUCCCACGAUGUCACUCUUGCUGAGUCCCCAUCGCCUCUGUGUUUUGGAGCAGUUAGAGACACACAGCAGUCUCUGUGAGUGGCUCUGCGUGAAGGAUUGUUUUCUAGGUGAGAUGCACAUCUCAACACAGCUGACUGCUCAGACUCAGCAAUUCCAUUCUGCAUCUCCUCUGGACACCCCCAGGACCACCAGGACAACCCCAUCAUGGCCCUGUCACCAGGCCCAGUCUGGCUCCAUGAUAACCAAGAUGCAGGUCCAGAGACAACCGCCCUACUUGGUGCCUGCAUCUGACCCCCCUUGGUGGGUAGUGACCAGCCCAACAUGGAAGAAGCCAGGGCAGCAUGCAGCCAGCUGCCCUGCAGCCCCAGAUGGCACCUGGGCCUUGGGAAGUCAUUCUCAAAGGGGAAGCUGGAAACUUUGAUGUCCCUGGAGGGAAGGGUGAACGUGGCAUCUGAACAACCCUGGCAGCCAGCAGCAUCUUCUCAUCCAACCUGUGGGACAGAGGCCCCCUGCUUGGGAAUGAGAUCCAUACCUAAAGGGUCCUGGCCCAGUCAGGCCUCAUCCUGGGCCCUGGGAGGGGAGGGGCACUAUGGGCCCCCCAGCAGCAGUCAGCAUUACCACCCAGGGAACUCAGCCUUCUGUGGCCCUGGCCAGAGUUAGAAUUUGGCCCAAGACAGGACAAGCUCACUCAGAGCAGGGUGUCAGUACCCAGGACCUGUGCAUGCCAGGCAAGGCCAAGCUGGCUCAAAGAGCAACCAGCCACCUCUGCAAGGGUGUGCCUGGAGCAGAUGGACCAGCCACCAGCCUCACCCACUCAAGGAAUCAGGGGUGGCCAGGUUCCCACAGCCUGAGGGGCUGCCACUUGACGGCUGAUGGAGUGGAGGCCUGAGGAAAAGCAGAUGGCACUGGGGCCCUACCUCCAGGGCAGAAUAACUGAUUUACCCUGACUGGCAGCGAGUGAGGUUGGUGGCUGGUCCACCUGCUCCUGGCACACCCUUGCAGAGGUGGCUGGUUGCUCUUUGAGCCAGCUUGGCCUUGCCUGGCAUGCACAGGCCUCAAUGCAACCACUGUGCUGCAGAUGGAGCCACAUAGAGGAAAUGAGCAGCAGGCUCAGGAGCAGGGUGUGCACUGCCUUUGGGGCUCCAGUCCAUGCAUGAGGGCUCCUACAGAACUGUGGGCUUCUUGGGUGCCAAGAGGCAGACCACAGGCCAUCUUGAGAAGGACUCCGUGUUCAAGUGCAGAAAGGGCCCAAUCUGGUAGAUGAACCACACAGCCAGCUUUUGGGUGCAGGCACAGUGCCACAUCUUCCAUCACUUCCUGAUGUGUCACACCAGCACUGAAGAGACAGCCUGGAGACAGGGCAAGAGGAAGGCUGAGAAGGAUGAGGUGGUGAAUUCCAGCUUCUUCCUGACCCUGAGCCCACCCCCAAGGUGGCCCUCAACCUUUAAGAGUGGGAGAGCAAAAUUGAUGGCUUCGAGUGCUUCACCAAGAAGAUAGAAACACAGGGCACUCAGCUCAACUUCUCAGCCAAUGAGUUGACAUGCAAGCAGAUUAUGGUGAUGGGUUUUAAGAAGGAGCAUCAGAAGGUGGCCAGUUCUUCAGCCUCAGCCAGGUCUUGGAGCUGGGCCAGGCCAUCACUUCACCAGAGAUGCCUUCAACACCGUUGGUGAGCUCUGCCAAUCAGCCCAUCCAGGAACUGGACCCAGUCAUGGACCUGUUAGUGCUGUCUCAGGGACACCAGGUCAACAUCCCGGACAUCAUCCACAUACACAAGGAAGCUCUUACCAAAGUCAUGGAGAGCAGGCAACAUGUGGCAGAAGGGAAGACAGAGGUGCAGAGGCUGAUGAUGUCAGAAUCACAGGAACAGGAUUUCUUUGGACACUGUGGCUGAAAUUCACCACUUCCAUCCAAUUCCGGUGAGAAACAUGGACUCACAGAUGCAGGAUUUCUUGCAACAAGAGAUACUAUUUUUUCAAAAGGUCACCCAGGAAUUGAUAGUGUUGAAUGACUAGAUACUCGAUUGUGCACUGUUUCCAGUUCAAGGAUGCUUUCUACAGCAGAAUAAUAACACUAGCAAAGAGCUAGUGCCAGGUAUUGGCGGUAGUACAAGGAUGGCUUUGUUCUCAAUUGAAACUCAGCUGAAUAUAGAAUUGUGUAGGAAACAGUUAAUAUGGCGAUAGAAUAGAAACAGUAGCAAACAUGACCUAAACCAUGCUAUGAAUUCCUACACUACCAUUGUAACUUUUGGAAGAAUGAUACCACUUACUUUAUUGCUUUUUGAAGUAUGAAUAUUUUCAUGUAUAUGCUGUAGACCUCAAACCCUGUGAAGAGUCUCAAAGAAGCUGGCUGGAUAAAGCCUGAGUGACUUCUCAUGAGACCUGGUCAUUGAAAACUCUAUGUCACCUCCCUACUCUGCAUGUUUUCCUCUUGCCGUGUGAGACAACUCACUCUUUCUUUGCCUUGCACAAAGAUUGAAAGAUUUCUGAGGCCUACCAGAAGCAGAAGCCCUGUGCUUCCUGUCCACCCUGCAGAACCAUGAGCCAAUUAAACCUCUUUUUCAUAAUGAAUCAUACAGAAAAUGGCAAAUGAGGACUGGAGCAUUGCUAUAAAGAUACCUGAAAAUGUGGAAGCAGCUUUGGAACUAGGUAAUGGACAGAGGUUGGAAGAGUUUGGAGGGCUCAAAAGAAGACAGAUGAGAAAGUUUGGACCAUCUUAGAGACUGGUUAAAUGGUUGUGACCAAAAUCCUGACAGAAACAUGGACAGUGAAGGCUAGGCUGAGGAGGUCUCAGAUAGAAAUAAGAAGCUUUCUGGAAAAUGUCUUCCUUUUGGAUAUGGAAAGCUUACACAAUGCCUGUACCACCCCUGUACCUUAGAAGCAGUGAUCUUGCAUUUUAUUUCAGAGGCUUAUAGGCAAAAGAGGCUGCAGCCUUGACUCAGAUGAGACUUUGGACUUUGUAACAUUGUGUUAAUGCUGAAAUGAGUUAAGACUCAUGCUGGGAAGGCAUGAUUGUAUUUUGCAAUGUGAAAAGGACAAGAGAUUCGUGGGGUCAGGGACAGAAUAAUAUGGUUUGUCUCUAUAUCCCUAUCAAAACCCGUGUGGAAUUAUACUCCCUAACGUUAGAGGUGGGGCCUAGGUGGAAAAAGAUUUAGUCAUAAAAUGGUGCAGGUAGAUCCUCCACGAAUGAUAAAGCACCAUCCCCUUGAUGCUGUCCUCCUGAUAGUGAGUGAGUUUUCAUGUGAUCUGGUUGUUUAACAGGCUGUGGAACCUCUUUCCUCACUCUGUCUUCCUCCUACUCCUGCCAUAGGAGACAGCUGAUUGUCCCUUGGCCUUCUGGUAUAAUUAGGAGGCUCCCUGACUCCUCCCAGAAACAAAAGACACUAUGCUUCCUUCACAGCCUGCAGAACCCUGAGUCAAUGAAACCUCUUUUAUUUAGGAUAAUACAGAAAAUUAGAACUGCAGAGAGGAGCUGUGAAAUGUCUUCAAGGCCUUUUUCCAUUUGUCUUGGCCAUUAGCACAGGGCUUCUUUAUAUGCAAAUUUCUGAAGUCUUCUUGAAUGUUCCCCCUUAAAUCGGGUUUUGUGUUAUUACUACAUAGCCAACCUGCUAUAGAGAUACCUGAAAAAGUAGAAGCAGGUUCAGAAGUGGGUAACAAACAAAGAUUGGGAGGGUUUGCAGGGAUUGGAAAAUGACAAAAAGAUGAGGGCCUGGUGGGAGUGAUUUAAUCACGGAUGGGAGGCGGGUGGGGUGGAAGGAAAAAGAGGUGGGCAGGGUGGGGAGGAGUAGGCUGGUGUAGGGUGGUGGAAGGGUGGGGUGUAGUGGGAGUGGGGAGUCGCCUGCUGCAGAGGCACAGCCUCAUGGACAACCUCUACUAGGGCAGUGCACCUGUGGCUUUGCAAGUUUUAGCCCCCACGGCUGCUCUCAUGGACUGGGCUACUGUUGAGUGCCUGUAGCUUUUCCACAGUGGGGGUGCAAGCUGUUGGUGGGUCUAUGAAUCUGGCUCUGCCUCUGCAGCAGGCUUCUGCCUGGAAACAGUGGGAGGUGGAGGUGGGGGUUGCGGGGGCAGAUCCUUCACCAGUGGUUAAGCACCAUCUUCUUGAUGCUGACCUUGUGAUACUGAGUUCUCAUGAGAUCUGGUUGUAUAACAGGGCGGGCUCCUCUUUCCUCUCUCAGUCUUGCUUCUACUGCUGCCACAUGAAGCAUUUCCUUGCCCCUUGGCCUUCUGGUAUGAUUGGGAGGCUUCCUGAGUCCUCCCGGAAGCAGAAGCCACUAUGCUUCCUUUACAGCCUGCAGAACCGUGAGCCAAUUACACCUCUUUCUUUAUGAUUGUACACAAAAUUAGUGCUGUGAAGUGGAGCUAUGAAAUGCCUU
rnacentral:lncRNA from 1 species